GAUGAACGCUGGCGGCGUGCCUAAUACAUGCAAGUCGAACGAAACUUCUUUAUCACCGAGUGCUUGCACUCACCGAUAAAGAGUUGAGUGGCGAACGGGUGAGUAACACGUGGGCAACCUGCCCAAAAGAGGGGGAUAACACUUGGAAACAGGUGCUAAUACCGCAUAACCAUAGUUACCGCAUGGUAACUAUGUAAAAGGUGGCUAUACUACCGCUUUUGGAUGGGCCCGCGGCGCAUUAGCUAGUUGGUAGGGUAAAGGCUUACCAAGGCAAUGAUGCGUAGCCGAAUUGAGAGGUUGAUCGGACACAUUGGGACUGAGACACGGCACAAACUCCUACGGGAGGCAGCAGUAGGGAAUCUUCCACAAUGGGCGAAAGCCUGAUGGAGCAACGCCGCGUGGGUGAAGAAGGUCUUCGGAUCGUAAAACCCUGUUGUUAGAGAAGAAAGUGCGUGAGAGUAACUGUUCACGUUUCGACGGUAUCUAACCAGAAAGCCACUGCUAACUACGUG
rnacentral:rRNA from 1 species